rnacentral:rRNA from 1 species
UACGGGGGGGGCAAGCGUUGUUCGGAAUUACUGGGCGUAAAGGGCUCGUAGGUGGCCAACUAAGUCAGACGUGAAAUCCCUCGGCUCAACCGGGGAACUGCGUCUGAGACUGGAAGGCUUGAAUCCGGGAGAGGGAUGUGGAAUUCCAGGUGUAGCGGUGAAAUGCGUAGAUAUCUGGAGGAACACCGGUGGCGGAGGCGGCUUCCUGGACCGACACUGACGCUGAGGCGCGAAAGCUAGGGGAGCAAACGGG